rnacentral:rRNA from 1 species
GACGAACGCUGGCGGCGUGCUUAACACAUGCAAGUCGAACGGACAGGCCCAGCUUUUUGGGUUCUCGCGUGGCCAACGGGCGGGUAACUCGCGGGUGAUUUGCCUCUAACUUCGGGUUAAGCUUCUGAAACUAGCUGUAAUACCUGACAGGUAAUUCGUUUAGUCUCGGUUGUGGAAAGUUUUUUCGGUUAUGGCUGGCCCCUCGGGCUAUCAGCUUGUUGGUGAGGUAAUGGGCUACCAAGGCGGCGUCCGGUAGCAGGCCUGCGAGGGUAGACGGCCACAAUGGGACUGAGAGACGGAGCAGACUCCUACGGGAGGCAGCAGUGGGGAAUAUUACACAAUGGGCGCAAGCGUGAUGCAGCGACGCCGCGUGGGGGAUGACGUGCUUCGGGUUGAAAACCUCUGUCGACAGAGACGAAGCUUUGGUGACGGUACCUGUAGAAGAAGCACCGGCUAACUACGUG